rnacentral:rRNA from 1 species
AUUGAACGCUGGCGGCAGGCCUAACACAUGCAAGUCGAACGCGUGGCGGACGGGUGAGUAAUGUCUGGGAAAAUGCCUGAUGGAGGGGGAUAACUCCUGGAAACGGUAGUUAAUACCGCACACCAUCAGAUGUGCCCAGAUGGGAUUAGCUUGUGGGUGGGGUAACGGCUCACCAAGGCGACGAUCCCUAGCUGGUCUGAGAGGAUGACCAGCCACACUGGAACUGAGACACGGUCCAGACUCCGACGGGAGGCAGCAGUGGGGAAUAUUGCACAAUGGGCGCAAGCCUGAUGCAGCCAUGCCGCGUGUAUGAAGAAGGCCUUCGGGUUGUAAAGUACUUUCAGCGAGGAGGCGUUACCCGCAGAAGAAGCACCGGCUAACUCCGUGCCAGCCGCCGCGGUAAUAC